ACUCCUACGGGAGGCAGCAGUUAGGAAUCUUCCGCAAUGGACGGAAGUCUGACGGAGCGACGCCGCUUGGAGGAGGAAGCCCUUCGGGGUGUAAACUCCUGAACUGGGGACGAAAGCCCUGUGUAAGGGGAUGACGGUACCCAGGUAAUAGCGCCGGCCAACUCCGUGCCAGCAGCCGCGGUAAUACGGAGGGCGCGAGCGUUACCCGGAUUUACUGGGCGUAAAGGGCGUGUAGGCGGCCUGGGGCGUCCCAUGUGAAAGGCCACGGCUCAACCGUGGAGGAGCGUGGGAUACGCUCAGGCUAGAGGGUGGGAGAGGGUGGUGGAAUUCCCGGAGUAGCGGUGAAAUGCGCAGAUACCGGGAGGAACGCCGAUGGCGAAGGCAGCCACCUGGUCCACUUCUGACGCUGAGGCGCGAAAGCGUGGGGAGCAAACCGGAUUAGAUACCCGGGUAGUCCACGCCCUAAACGAUGCGCGCUAGGUCUUUGGGGUUUAUCUGGGGGCCGAAGCCAACGCGUUAAGCGCGCCGCCUGGGGAGUACGGCCGCAAGGCUGAAACUGAAAGGAAUUGACGG
rnacentral:rRNA from 1 species